rnacentral:lncRNA from 1 species
ACUCCGAGGCUCAGGGAGCAAGUGCCUGGCAUGGGGGCCGGCGCCUCGGUUCCUGCCCAGCUGGAUUUGGGGGGCAGCAUUGCCUGGCGCAGGGAGAUCAAAUGAGACUGCAAAGAAGCAUAAAAUGAAUAGACAAUCCAACCAACCAAAGGAAAUUGCUUUGGAGAUGAGGAAACAAACUCUUAUGGAGACCUAAGAGACUGAAGACAUCUGGCGUGGACUACUCUGAUGGUAAAAUUGAAAGUACACCUAAAUUUGCUUUGUUACAGGAUUCUCUUCAGAGGACAAGAGAAGAUGUUACAUUCUCUGCAUGAGGACAAUUCUGCAGCAUCAAAAUCGAAUAAUAUUUGUUUUCUGGCAGCAGAAUUUUGUAUCAUAUUUCUAAAGACAGUAAGCACUUGGGUGGACGUCAAUGAAUACUAAACACUAAUUGAUCUGAUACAGCCGUAUGCACAUACACAGAUAUACAUGGUGGCUUGUAAUGGUUGAAAAAUUACGGUUUGGUUUUAUUAAAAGAUCUGUCACUUUUAGGUCAGAGUGGGAUUUUGGAGGGAUAGUCUCCCACAAUAGAAAACUACCCUGACAACAGUGGUGUUUUGAGGUUGUUUGUUGUUUGGCUUCUUGAUGAUGCUUAGCUAAGGAGACACUUCCUUUCAGAUUCUGUCUUCCAAACCCCAGGGCUCUGUUCUGGGCAGUUCAGCCUAAUGGAAUUAAGCCUGACAUGUUUCAACUCUAUUUCUUGAUAAAAUAAACAUAAAACAAUGGUUUAGAUUUCGAAUAAAACUCUUGAAGCAUGGGGUA